rnacentral:tRNA from 1 species
GGGAUUGUAGUUCAAUUGGUUAGAGCACCGCCCUGUCAAGGCGGAAGCUACGGGUUCGAGCCCCUUCAUUCCCG